rnacentral:rRNA from 1 species
ACGCUCGACACCUACGCGAGGCAGCAGUAGGGAAUCUUCCACAAUGGACGCAAGUCUGAUGGAGCAACGCCGCGUGAGUGAAGAAGGUUUUCGGAUCGUAAAGCUCUGUUGUUGGUGAAGAAGGAUAGAGGUAGUAACUGGCCUUUAUUUGACGGUAAUCAACCAGAAAGUCACGGCUAACUACGUGCCAACAGCCGCGGUAAUCUGAGCGGGCUGGCAAGGC